rnacentral:rRNA from 1 species
CCUACGGGGGGCAGCAGUGGGGAAUAUUGGACAAUGGGCGAAAGCCUGAUCCAGCCAUGCCGCGUGUGUGAAGAAGGCCUUCGGGUUGUAAAGCACUUUCAGUGGGGAAGAAAGCCUGUAGGCUAAUACUCUCUAGGUAGGACAUUACCCACAGAAGAAGCACCGGCUAACUCCGUGCCAGCAGCCGCGGUAAUACGGAGGGUGCGAGCGUUAAUCGGAAUUACUGGGCGUAAAGCGCGCGUAGGCGGUCUGUUAAGCCGGUUGUGAAAGCCCCGGGCUCAACCUGGGAACGGCAUCCGGAACUGUCAGGCUAGAGUGCAGGAGAGGAAGGUAGAAUUCCCGGUGUAGCGGUGAAAUGCGUAGAGAUCGGGAGGAAUACCAGUGGCGAAGGCGGCCUUCUGGACUGAUACUGACGCUGAGGUGCGAAAGUGUGGGUAGCAAACAGGAUUAGAUACCCGAGUAGUC